rnacentral:rRNA from 1 species
CCUACGGGAGGCAGCAGUGGGGAAUCUUGGACAAUGGGCGCAAGCCUGAUCCAGCCAUGCCGCGUGAGUGAUGAAGGCCUUAGGGUCGUAAAGCUCUUUCAACGGUGAAGAUAAUGACGGUAGCCGUAGAAGAAACCCCGGCUAACUCCGUGCCAGCAGCCGCGGUAAUACGGAGGGGGUUAGCGUUGUUCGGAAUUACUGGGCGUAAAGCGCGCGUAGGCGGAUUGGAAAGUUGGGGGUGAAAUCCCAGGGCUCAACCCUGGAACUGCCUCCAAAACUAUCAGUCUAGAGUUCGAGAGAGGUGAGUGGAACUCCGAGUGUAGAGGUGAAAUUCGUAGAUAUUCGGAAGAACACCAGUGGCGAAGGCGGCUCACUGGCUCGAUACUGACGCUGAGGUGCGAAAGUGUGGGGAGCAAACAGGAUUAGAUACCCCUGGUAGUCCACACCGUAAACGAUGAAUGCCAGUCGUCGGGUAGCAUGCUAUUCGGUGACACACCUAACGGAUU